UAGGGAAUAUUGGGCAAUGGGCGGUAGCCUGACCCAGCCAUGCCGCGUGCAGGAAGACGGCGUUCUGCGUUGUAAACUGCUUUUACACGGGAAGAAAAGGCCCAUGCGUGGGACAUUGCCGGUACCGUGUGAAUAAGCACCGGCUAACUCCGUGCCAGCAGCCGCGGUAAUACGGAGGGUGCGAGCGUUGUCCGGAUUUAUUGGGUUUAAAGGGUGCGCAGGCGGCCCCUUAAGUCGGCGGUGAAAGUUUGCGGCUCAACCGCAAAACCGCCGUUGAUACUGGGGGGCUUGAGUUCCGGCGGGGUACAUGGAAUUUAUGGUGUAGCGGUGAAAUGCAUAGAUACCAUAAGGAACACCGAUAGCGGAGGCAUUGUACUUGCCGGCGACUGACGCUGAGGCACGAAAGCGCGGGUAGCGAACAG
rnacentral:rRNA from 1 species